rnacentral:rRNA from 1 species
AGUGAACGCUGGCGGUAGGCCUAACACAUGCAAGUCGAACGGCAGCACAGUAAGUGCUUGCUCUUACGGGUGGCGAGUGGCGGACGGGUGAGGUAUACAUCGGAAUCUACUUUUUCGUGGGGGAUAACGUAGGGAAACCUACGCUAAUACCGCAUACGACCUACGGGUGAAAGCAGGGGAUCUUCGGACCUUGCGCGAUUGAAUGAGCCGAUGUCGGAUUAGCUAGUUGGCGGGGUAAAGGCCCACCAAGGCGACGAUCCGUAGCUGGUCUGAGAGGAUGGUCAGCCACACUGGAAGUGAGACACGGCCCAGACUCCUACGGGAGGCAGCAGUGGGGAAUAUUGGACAAUGGGCGCAAGCCUGAUCCAGCCAUACCGCGUGUGUGAAGAAGGCCUUCGGGUUGUAAUGCCCUUUUGUUGGGAAAGAAAAGCAGCAGGUUAAUACCCCGCUGUUCUGACGGUACCAAAAGAAUAAGCACCGGCUAACUUCGUG